GUAGACUGAGGAGCAAAACAACUUUCAGGGGUACAUUCACCUUAACAUGUGACCCUGAAUAUUUGUCUCUUUAUUUGGUUCUCUCAAACCAAAGAAAUGCAAGACCCUCAAUGAAGGCCAAAUGCCUUUCUUUGGUGAAGUGUGGAAGUAACAUGAAGAGGAAAGGGGAGGUCACAAAGGCCACACAGCAUCAUGCCUAAGCAGUAGGUUCAAGAGCAUGGGUUGUCGUGGAAAGCCAGAGGAUUAGAAAACUCAUCGUGCAGGAGGUACUUGGACCUGAAACUUUUAGGAAAUGUUAACGUUCAUCAAGUCUGUUCCAGCAGCCAAAGUUUGAGCUCAACACACACACACAGACCCUGCCAGGGCUUUUGUGAAAAUACUUCAGUUUUCACUUGUCUCUACACAAAAGGCCACCACCCCGCCAGAUUAAUACGAAAACCUGGAGUAGAUACACAUGUACACUGGCUUCCCUUAAUGAUUCCUCGAUCACUGAACCUCAGAUUAAUCCAGAAUGUGAAACAGAAGUCACAUUAGUUGAAAAAGCCACCCCACCGAUUCUCAAUCACUGAGCCCCACAGGGGAGUGACCCGCGAGGACCACAAUCCCUGAUCUCAGGACUCUUGGUCGUAGAUCUACUCAGGCCUUUAAUCACUGACCACCAGAGCCUCCAUGAGGGACCCCCAAAGAUAUCCCAUCACAGACACCCACCAGGGACUCCUACCAGCUCCCCUCCAAAAGAAAACACCCGCCCCCGCCUCCCCCACACUGCCGCGCUACCUACACCUUACAGCGCCGCCAACAACGCAGACGCCCUCAGAAUGCUCCCUCCCACCGCGUUUCCACGUCCUGACCCACACACUGACCUUACUCUCCCUGGAAUCGCUGCGACUUCUUAAAGACUGAACUUACUUCCCUAAAGUUCUUCCACUUCUGGGCCCCUCGCCCAGCUCCCUCCCCACUAAACCUCAAGGGAGGGUCACCCGCGUUUCCAUGGAGAGCGGAAUGCGGCCUUCCGGCUUUUCCUCAGAAGAAGCAUCCGCGCCGGAGUCGCCUCGCCGCUCUGGGGGCGGCCAUCUUUGAGUACGUGACGUACAGACGGCAUAGGAGCCGCGAGACGCUGUGGACAGAGGCCUCUUAAAACUGUCCGAUUUCCAGGCACGUCAGCCGUGGCAGAAAAAUGGAGAGAUUAUCAGAGGCUUGAGUUCACACAGACAGAUACGGCGUGUGGGUAAAGUCCUCUGAACAGACAGGGAACAGAAUAAGUUGAUCUUCUCCUUGCAGGGGCUAGUGAACGGCGCAAACUUCUCAAAGGCCGGAACCCAUUAUUACCACAAAGGCGCGGCAUCAGUUCUUAACGGUCUUGAUGGCUGUGGCGUCUCAACUCAAUGGAAAAUUAAAGUCACCUCUGGGCACCUCAAUCACUAUUCUAAAUGCGAAGCGUUUUAGAGGCCGUAUAAAAACUGAAUCAAGCGGGAUUAGAACAAAAAAUAAGCGAGCGGUGCGUUGCAGGUACCACAUUAACCAGCUGAAGAAAAUCCUGAGACUACAAUAGAAAUGUGGCUCCUCCGACCCUCGGUGGACAGCGCCUGAGCACGAAGACAGCUGCAAGUUUCUGGCCAGGGCCAUUCUCCGGUGAAACUGAAAGGUUUCUGUGUGGAAGUGCCUGACUGCCACCGCUUGGUUCAGGUGAGAAACCUGAGUCCUAUUCCUUUUUUUCUUUUUCUGAGUUCUUUUCCUUUUCUCCUUUUUCAGUCUUUCAGCAGCCGUUUUCUAGUAGCUCCUUGGUAAUUGGGGGGAACUGACUGGGGCCACUCUCUGGUGGUCUCUGAAGGCCAAGGAGUGAACAGGGAUGGCUGCCCCGCCCAGAAGGGGAAAAGACUCUUUUCUGUCCUUUUCAGUAAUAGUCCCUGAUCCCUAUGUGUGAUGCAGUUGGCAGCAGUAGCUCAUCCAGGGCGAACUCACAGGUUUCAGGUGACUUAAGCUUCUUUUACUUAUGCUAAAUUCUUCCCUUCCCUCAUUCAACUGGCCAAGGACAGAAAACCCACCUAACUAUGGAAAAAAGGUUAUACAAGUCAGAGGGUCUGGGCAUAUCGUAGGUGGUCUGUGUGGUGCAUGGUGGUGGAGGGAAUUCAUGAAAGGGAAUUUAUUAUUGCCCAAGUUGAGAGGGUUAAAGAGUUGCUUUAAGUGGGAUAGAAAAACUUGUCAGGUCCUCAGUGGUGGAGAGAACCAUUCCAAAGCGGUGCCAGCACCCAUCUAAGGUCAGAGAUGUCUGACAGACUAAGUUGGAGCCCUAAAGGGGGGAUGCUCCCAGGGACCCCACUCUGGGCCCAGAAUUUUUCCAGGGGGAUGCCCCAGGUAAAAUUUGGGUCACCUAAUGAGCCCUCCACUUUUUAAAGUCCUCUUCUCUUUUCCAGACCACUAUGGGCAACUCUCCACCUCUUCCACCUGAUUCCAUGCUUGGCUAUAUCCUCAACCAUUGAAAUAAAUUUGACCCUGACACUCUAAAGACAAAA